UUGUUGUUGGGUGAAGGCAGGUGUUGAGGCCCAGGACAGCCUGGUUAUAAAGAAACGUCUUUCUAUGACACUCUGUUGACCAUUUCCAAAAAUUGGAAAUGUAAUGGUCAGCUCAUUAGAAAGAAACAUUU
rnacentral:snoRNA from 14 species